AGAGUUUGAUCAUGGCUCAGAAUCAACGCUGGCGGCGUGCCUAACACAUGCAAGUCGAACGAGAAAGUGGAGCAAUCCAUGAGUAAAGUGGCGCACGGGUGAGUAACACGUGACUAACCUACCCUUGAGUGGGGGAUAACCUAGGGAAACCUGGGCUAAUACCGCAUAAUACCUACGGGUCAAAGGAGCAAUUCGCUUAAGGAGGGGGUCGCGGCCGAUUAGUUAGUCGGCGGGGUAAUGGCCCACCAAGACAGUGAUCGGUAUCCGGCCUGAGAGGGCGCACGGACACACUGGAACUGAAACACGGUCCAGACUCCUACGGGAGGCAGCAGUGGGGAAUUUUGCGCAAUGGGGGAAACCCCGACGCAGCAACGCCGCGUGGAGGAUGAAGUCUCUUGGGACGUAAACUCCUUUCGAUCGGGACGAUAAUGACGGUACCGAGAGAAGAAGCCCCGGCUAACUUCGUGCCAGCAGCCGCGGUAAUACGAGGGGGGCGAGCGUUGUUCGGAAUUAGUGGGCGUAAGGGGUGCGUAGGCGGUUCGGUAAGUCUUGUGUGAAAUCUUCGGGCUCAACUCGAAGUCUGCACUAGAAACUGCCGGGCUUGAGUGUGGGAGAGGUGAGUGGAAUUUCCGGUGUAGCGGUGAAAUGCGUAGAUAUCGGAAGGAACACCUGUGGCGAAAGCGGCUCACUGGACCACAACUGACGCUGAGGCACGAAAGCUAGGGGAGCAAACAGGAUUAGAUACCCUAGUAGUCC
rnacentral:rRNA from 1 species